rnacentral:lncRNA from 1 species
AUGAGCUACAGGAUCAAUUCUUUAUCCCAUAAGUGGCAGAAUUACCAGGCCAAACACUCAGCUUGCUCUCACAUUAUGGAGAAAAAAAGCCAUGUGAGCUGGUCCAAGAUCACCUCCUGCCACACACGCACACACACACCGUCACCCCCACCACGCACGCACACACGCCCCAGGUCGCACAGGCGCACGCAGGGUCACACACACUCACCCCCUCCUGCCACGCACGCACACGCACAUACCGUCACCCCCACCACGCACGCACAGACGCCCAGGUCGCACAGCCGCACGCAGGGUCACACACGCUCCCCCCCUGCCACACACACACACCGUCACCCCCCCCACGCACACACACACGCCCCGGGUCGCACAGGCGCACGCAGGGUCACCCACGCUCACCCCCUGCCACACACGCACACACCGUCACCCCCACCACGCACGCACACACGCCCCAGGUCGCACAGGCGCACGCAGGGUCACACACACUCACCCCCUGCCAUACAGACAUACACACAGAGUCACUCCCACGGCGCACACCCCCACACACAUUGUUACCCCCUCAUACACACACAGCCACAGACCCUCACACACACAAACAGAGUCACCUCCCCCCACACCCUCCAGGUCACACAGCCACCCUCCCCUACCCACAUGGCCGUACCAGGUCAGACAGGCGUGCGUGUGUGCACACACGUGUGCACACACACAGUCAGCCCUCCCCCUGCACAGUCAUGUACUCACACGUGUGGUCACAUGCACACGCAUGCACAGUCAGCCUCCUCUCCCCACGCACACCCCCCCGGUCAUGUAAUUGCACACACAGUCACCCCUCCCACACAUAACGCACACAUGGUCACCCCCCCGUACACACAUGGCCACGCCUACACAUGCACACCCGGUCACACAGCCACACGCAUGGUCACACACCCGCCCACGCACACACACGCGUGCAGGUCUCGUGGCCACACACAGUCACAGCCUCCCUCACCCCCACCCCCAGGUCACUCGGCCAAACACGCGUGGGUUUACAGGCAUACACACGUCAGGUCACAGGUGCACACCCACACAGUCACACCCGCAUGCACUCCCCCCCCAAUUCACACACGCAAUUAA